GUCGUGGAUCAAGGCUUGUUUUAAGAAGUAAACAGUCUACUUUCACGUUUGGCGGAACCUCCUGACCUUCGUAUAUUUCAAAGACCUUUUGAUGUCUUGGACCAGGGCUUGUUGUAAUAAGUAAACAGUCUACUUUCACGUUUGUCUGAACCUCCUGACUUUCGUAUAUUUCAAAGACCUUUAGAUUAAAACACGAUUGACAUCCUUAAUACCUAAAGAUGAAGACGACGAUGGUAUUUUGUUUGUUUGUAACCGUCUCCAUGGUUAUAGCAGAUAAUGGUUACUAUGUUCAAGAUAAUCCCAAUUUGUAUCAACAUGAAUCAUAUAAAGUUGCACCAAUACAGAAAUCCAAACACGUGGUAAUCAAGCCCUGUCUGGAUUAUGGAUUAUUCGAAGAUCCUAACGACUGUGGUGCUUUCUUCCAAUGUUCGCCAGCAGGUUUGGUUCGUAUCAAGUGUGCGAAAGGAAACCUUUACGACAGAAAUAUUAAAAGAUGCAACUCCAAGGAAUUUGUGCCGUGUUACAGCGGCGUCAGUUGUCCACGUCCAUUUGGUGUUUACCCUAAUCCAAGAUUCUGUAACAAAUUCCUGAAUUGUUUCGCGAAUAUCCCCUACAUUCAAGCUUGUCCAGCUGGUCUGGUGUUUAAUGCUAUUGCUCCUGGUAAAGGUUUCUGUGAUUACCCUAAAAAUGUCAAUUGUGAAGAUAACAAGAUCGCUGUAAUCAAAGUCCACAAACCAGUCAUCGUUAAACACCCAGUCCACACCCCGGUUGAGCAACCACUCCACAUCCUGGUUGUUAAACAGCAAAACGAUAACAAACCUGUCAUCGUUAAACACCCAGUCUCCAACCCAGUUGUACAGCCAAUAUACACCCCAGUUGUUAAGGAGACAGUCUACACUCCCUCUAGAUACGAUAGCGAUGAUUCCAAAUAAUUUCAUUUGUUAAUAUUUUUAAUUUAUUAAGGAAUUGUUUCUCACUCGCCGUAGCUAUUACUCUACAAAAUACAGCGACCAUACCAAAUUUUGUUAUCUAAACAGUA